UCCCCGUUACCGGGGCAGUCUGAUUAGAAAAAUACAACUAAUCACAAGGGUUGCGCUCGUUGAUGGACUUAACCAAACAUCUCACGACACGAGCUGACGACGGCCAUGCAACAGCUGUCACCAAGUUCAAUAAAGCACUCUCGCCUUUCGGCAAAAUUCUUGGGAUGUCAAACCCUGGUAAGGUUCAUCGGUUAUCAUCGAAUUAAAGAACAUAAUCCACCGCUUGUGCGGCUCCCCGUCAAUUCCUUUAUGUUUUAGUCUUGCGACCGUACUCCCCAGGCGGGAUGCUUAACGCGUUAGCUUAGGCACUGCCCCAAAGAGCGGGGCAACACCGAGCAUCCAUCGUUUACGGCGUGGACUAC
rnacentral:misc_RNA from 1 species